rnacentral:lncRNA from 1 species
UACAGUGCAGGUAAAUGACAUGAAGGACAGUAUCGACGAAGAGAAGGAGAGAGCGGCCACGCUCAAGAAGAAGGUUCAGCUCCAUGACUCAUUACAAACCGACGACCAGGAUGCUAUGUUGGAUGCUCUUGGUGUGAAGGUGACAGAAGUGCAUCGCUGCUUCAUUGAUAGCCGGUUGACCAACCUCAGCACCUUGGAGAAGCUGUCCAGUGUUGAAUACCGUAUGUCUUUAUUGCUCCAGCUCGUUGAGAGCAUCCCUGAGGAAAACUUGGAGACACUGAGGCAGAUCAAGGACAGUGAGAGAAGGAGCAGAGUGGAAGAAAGCUAAUGCCCAGAAGCAGCCCUGUUGAGCAGAAGAUCAAGGUCAGUGAUGAAGACAACAUACCUGCUGAAGAGGAACUACAUGCCUACCUCUUCACCACUGAGGACAUAGAGUAAAAAAGAAGACAUAGUCCAUGAAAAGUAAAACAUGUAGGAAAAAAAGGAAUACUACUGAAAUAUUA